rnacentral:rRNA from 1 species
GAGGAAUAUUGCACAAUGGGCGCAAGCCUGAUGCAGCAACGCCGCGUGCGGGACGAAGGCCUUCGGGUCGUAGACCGCUUUUCUGGGGGAAGAGCAAGGACGGUACCUCAGGAAUAAGUCUCGGCUAACUACGUGCCAGCAGCCGCGGUAAAACGUAGGAGGCGAGCGUUAUCCGGAUUUACUGGGCGUAAAGCGCACGCAGGCGGCUCUGUUAGUCGGACGUGAAAGUUCUCGGCUUAACCGGGAGAGGCCGUUCGAUACUGCGGGGCUUGGGGUAGGGAGAGGAAUGCGGAAUUCCCGGUGUAGUUGUGGAAUGCGUAGAUAUCGGGAGGAACACCUGUGGCGAAAGCGGCAUUCUGGCCCUCACCUGACGCUGAGGUGCGAAAGCGUGGGUU